rnacentral:rRNA from 1 species
UACGGGGGGGGGCAAGCGUUGUCCGGAAUUACUGGGCGUAAAGAGCUCGUAGGUGGUUUGUCGCGUUGUCCGUGAAAACUCACAACUCAAUUGUGGGCGUGCGGGCGAUACGGGCAGACUGGAGUACUGCAGGGGAGACUGAAGAUUCCUGGUGUAGCGGUGGAAUGCGCAGAUAUCAGGAGGAACACCGGUGGCGAAGGCGGGUCUCUGGGCAGUAACUGACGCUGAGGAGCGAAAGCGUGGGGAGCGAACAGG